ACGGUUAUACCACAUUGAAAACACAUGUUCUCGUUCGAUCACCGAAGUUAAGCAAUAUCAGGCCUGGUCAAUACUUGAGAUUAAUUAUUCCAAAAUUGGCCAAAUAUCCAUUCU
rnacentral:rRNA from 1 species